AAGAAAAGGUCAGGAUAGCUCAGUUGGUAGAGCAGAGGACUGAAAAUCCUCGUGUCACCCAGUUCAAAUA
rnacentral:tRNA from 5 species